AGGUGUAGCGCAGUUGGUAGCGCGCCUGCUUUGGGAGCAGGAUGUCGCAGGUUCAAGUCCUGUCACCU
rnacentral:tRNA from 1 species